CCUACGGGGUGCAGCAGUGAGGAAUAUUGGUCAAUGGGCGGAAUCCUGAACCAGCCAUGCCGCGUGCGGGACGACGGCUCUGCGAAUUGUAAACUUCUUUUAUAAAGGAAUAAAGUGAGGCACGUGUGCCUUUUUGUAUGUACUUUAUAAAUAAGCAUCGGCUAACUCCGUGCCAGCAGCCGCGGUAAUACGGAGGAUCCGAGCGUUAUCCGGAUUUAUUGGGUUUAAAGGGAGCGUAGAUGGGUUGUUAAGUCAGUUGUGAAAGGUUGCGGCUCAACCGUAAAAUUGCAAUUGAUACUGGCAGCCUUGAGUACAGUUGAGGUAGGCGGAAUUCGUGGUGUAGCGGUGAAAUGCUUAGAUAUCACGAAGAACUCCGAUUGCGAAGGCAGCUUACUAAACUGCCACUGACAUUGAGGCUCGAAAGUGUGGGUAUCAAACAGGAUUAGAUACCCUAGUAGUC
rnacentral:rRNA from 1 species